CAAAGGGAAACAAGCACCCUAUUAAGGUGUUACAAAGCCAUUUGAGAGAAACAUGCAAUGCCAGUUUUGUCACUCACUAUAUAUGGUGCUUCAUCUACCCAUGGUGGUACUGUAGAAUAGUUCAAAAGAACAUCAGAGAAAGAGAGAGAGUCUCAGAAGUGACUUUUUAAAAAAUAAGCUCUUGGGCCUGCCUCUGUGACAUGAUAAGGGCCCUCCAAUGCGACAUCACAAGGUCCUGUCCCCUGGUCUCCGUUUUUGGCCUUGGAAUAUCAGAGAACAAGAUACUGCUCACCCAGUAA